rnacentral:lncRNA from 1 species
AUAUAGAAGAUGCUUUGUGUGUAAUGAACAAACCAGUGGUGUGUUCAACCCUGCUAAAGAGCUCAUUAACAAGCUGAAGAAACAUAAAGAGGAGGAGGAAAGUGAUUCUGAUGCAGAGGCGGCUGCUGGCUUGGCAGAGUGGAAUCAGGUGGAGAAAGGGACAUUACAGGAGGGGAGCCAGGAGGAGAGUGGCUCUGACAAGAGAGUGGCUUCUGGGGGUUGGAAUCAGGUGGAGUAGAGGAUGUGAUGAGGUGGGGCCAGGAGGAGAGCGGCUCUGACAAGGGAGUGGCUUCAGGGGGUUUGUAAUCAGAUGGAGUAGGGGAUGUGAUGAGGGGGGAGCCAAGAGGAGAGCAGCUCUGACAAGGGAGCGGCUUCUGGGGGUUGGAAUUAGGUGGAGUAGGGGAUGUGAUCAGGUGUCUCCAGGAGGAGAGUGGCUCUGACAAGGGAGUGGCUUUUGGGGGUUGGAAUCAGGUGGAGUAGGGGGUGUGAUGAGGUGGGGCCAGGAGGAGAAUGGCUCUGACAAGGGAGCGGCUUUUGGUGGUUGGAAUCAGGUGGAGUAGGGGGUGUGAUGAGGUGGGGCCAGGAGGAGAAUGGCUCUGACAAGGGAGUGGCUUCUGGGGGUUGGAAUUGGGUGGAGUAGGGGAUGUGAUGGAUGGACGGGGUCAGGUUGGUGGGGUGGUGUGUGUCUCCUUUGGAGAUAUGCACUGUGGUUGGUCUGUGUGGGAUUGGCAGGUGUGUUUUCCAUGGGGAGAAGUGCAUUACCAGUAGUCAGAAAUGAGAUACAGGUGGUUUGGAUAAAAUGUAGAAGUAAUUCAGAAAGUGAGAACAGUAAUUCUUUCUUGAGAUAUAGUCUAGACUGUGUUUAAUAGCUUCAUUAUAGAGAUAACCUAGCUUUUGUUCAAAGCUUUAAUUUGUAAUUUACCAGUAGCUGAAGAUAACAAUGCUUAUUGUCUGGGGUCAGAAGAGGAUAUUGACAGCAAUGACCAUGCAGAGCCAAGGGAGUGUCGGUUACUAUGGUUACAAGAUGUUUGUAGUCAAAUAUACAAAAACACUAUGUAAUGCUACCAAUUACAAACAAUUUACAGAGAUGAAACAUACUGCAUUCUCAAUAAAGGUUAGGUUAUCUGUAGAUGAUUACCUUCGUUCUACCAUGACAAAAUGAAAUACAAACUCUUUGUGUUAGCAGAGACACUGAGUGAAGUGGCAUCCAUAGUUUGAGAAAGUUUUUGAUCUGAAUUUAGGAAACAGUGAAACUAGCCUGUGAAUGUAUAGUGCUGAAUAUGCAUUGUCGAUUUACAUCAUACUGUAUCUGAAUAUAUUUCAGACAUGGAAAGUUUGUAGUGUAGCUGGUAGCUUGAAGUAGGCACCUCUGAAGAACUUCACCAUACCUCACAGUUCACCUUAUCUCACUGUUAUGACGUCACACAGCUCAUUGUGUGAGGAAAGGACUUCACAGUCAGAUACAGAAAGGCCAUAACCUUUAAGCUCGCUGUUGCCCCCAAACUUUAAGUUAUACUCAGCUGAUUUCUAUGAUUUCUUUCCAGCAUCUAUCGCCACAAUUACUUUGGUGUUUUGAAAGCUUGAAAGUAGGGUCCUUUCUACGUCUGACUGUGAUGUCCUCUGCAUCACAAAAGUGAUGGCAUCAUAAAAGUGUGGUGAAAUAGGAAACCUUGUCUUGUGGAUGAGUUCUGGUGAAGUCUCAGCUUUACAGCUGAUAAUGUUAAGAGUUAUGUUAUCAUACUUUGUAAAAUAUCACUUGAAUUAUUAUGGUUUGUAGAUAAAACUUGCAUUUUCAUACAUUGUAAAUAGACAUUGUUCAUGUGAUGCAUUGUAAGUAAACAUGUGCAUCAUCAAUAAAUGGAAUUUCCUAUA